rnacentral:rRNA from 1 species
CGCUGUUAUCCCUAAGGUAAUUUAGUCUUUUAAUCACUAAAAAUGGAUCAAAAAUAUAUAAAUAAAUAUAAAAAAAUAAAAAGAGUUAUUUUAAUCUUCCUAUCACCCCAACAAAAUUUACACAACAUUAAAUUUUGACCUACAAAAAAUAUUUAAAUAAAUUAAACUCUAUAGGGUCUUCUCGUCCCAAAAAAAUAUUUAGGCAUUUUAACCUAAAAUUUAAAUUCAACAUAAUAAAAAUCAAAGACAGUAGUUACCUCGUCAAACCAUUCAUUCCAGCCUACAAUUAAAAGACUAAUGAUUAUGCUACCUUUGCACGGUCAAAAUACCGCGGCCCUUCAAAUAAUCAGCGGGCAGGUCAUACAUCAUAAGUACAACAAAGAGAGAUGUUUUUGUUAAACAGGCG